rnacentral:rRNA from 1 species
AGAGUUUGAUCCUGGCUCAGAUUGAACGCUGGCGGUAUGCUUUACACAUGCAAGUCGAACGGAUUAAAGAGCUUGCUCUUUAGUUAGUGGCGAACGGGUGAGUAAUAUAUCGGAACAUAUCCGGAAGUGGGGGAUAACGUAGCGAAAGUUACGCUAAUACCGCAUAUGCCCUGAGGGGGAAAGGGGGGGAUCGCAAGACCUCUCGCUUUCGGAGUGGCCGAUAUCGGAUUAGCUAGUAGGUGAGGUAAAGGCUCACCUAGGCGACGAUCCGUAGCUGGUCUGAGAGGACGACCAGCCACACUGGAACUGAGACACGGUCCAGACUCCUACGGGAGGCAGCAGUGGGGAAUUUUGGACAAUGGGCGAAAGCCUGAUCCAGCCAUACCGCGUGAGUGAAGAAGGCCUUCGGGUUGUAAAGCUCUUUCAGCCGGAAAGAAAUCGCAUUCCUUAAUACGGGAUGUGGAUGACGGUACCGGAAGAAGAAGCACCGGCUAACUACGUGCCAGCAGCCGCGGUAAUACGUAGGGUGCGAGCGUUAUCCGGAAUUACUGGGCGUAAAGCGUGCGCAGGCGGCAUGAUAAGCCAGAUGUGAAAUCCCCGGGCUUAACCUGGGAACUGCAUUUGGAACUGUCAAGCUAGAGUGUAGCAGAGGGGGGUAGAAUUCCACGUGUAGCAGUGAAAUGCGUAGAGAUGUGGAGGAAUACCGAUGGCGAAGGCAGCCCCCUGGGCUAACACUGACGCUCAUGCACGAAAGCGUGGGGAGCAAACAGGAUUAGAUACCCUGGUAGUCCACGCCCUAAACGAUGAAUGCUAGUCGUCGGGGAGCUCGUCUCUUCGGUGAUGCACUUAACAGAUUAAGCAUUCCGCCUGGGGAGUACGUCGCAAGAUUAAAACUCAAAGGAAUAGACGGGGACCCGCACAAGUGGUGGAGCAUGUGGUUUAAUUCGAUGCAACGCGAAAAACCUUACCUACCCUUGACAUG